AGGAUGAACGCUGGCGGCGUGCCUAACACAUGCAAGUCGAACGUCCUGUCUCGCAAGAGGCAGGGAGUGGCGGACGGGUGAGUACCACGUGGGUCAUCUACCGUGAGGUGAGGAAUACCGGCGAGAAAUCGCCGACAAGGCCGCAUAGGCUCGAUGCAAGUCGAGCAAAGCUCUUUCGAGAGAGGGAGCGCCACACGAGGAGCCUGCGCCCGAUUAGCUAGCUGGUGGAGUAACGGUUCACCAGGGCGACGAUCGGUAGCUGGUCUGAGAGGACGAUCAGCCACACUGGGAUUGAGAACGGCCCAGACUCCUACGGGGGGCAGCAGUGAGGAAUUUUCGUCAAUGGGGGCAACCCUGAACGAGCAACGCCGCGUGCAGGAAGAAGGUUUCGGAUCGUAAACUGCUUUUCUCGGGGAAGAGAAUGGACGGUACCCGAGGAAUCAGCCCGGCUAACUACGUGCCAGCAGCCGC
rnacentral:rRNA from 1 species